rnacentral:pre_miRNA from 1 species
CGGGGGAGGCCGGAUCCUGGGCUGUGUCCCGGCGCCCUGUGCUCUGGGGCCUGCGCUGUUGGAUUCGCGCUCCCGGGCCGCGCAGCCCCCU